rnacentral:sRNA from 3 species
ACCAGUCCGAAAGCCUAAACCCCACACACGUGUCGACACGAUGGCCUGGGUGCCUCUCAGUAGUUCCUUAUAAAGAACGGCUGGGGGUUGGUCAUUGGGAUACGUGGAGGCCUAACC